rnacentral:rRNA from 1 species
GACGGAGGAUGCAAGUGUUAUCCGGAAUCACUGGGCGUAAAGCGUCUGUAGGUGGUCAAAUAAGUCAACUGUUAAAUCUUGAGGCUCAACCUCAAAAUCGCAGUCGAAACUAUUCGACUAGAGUAUAGUAGGGGUAAAGGGAAUUUCCAGUGGAGCGGUGAAAUGCGUAGAGAUUGGAAAGAACACCGAUGGCGAAGGCACUUUACUGGGCUAUUACUGACACUGAGAGACGAAAGCUAGGGUAGCAAAUGGG